UGGACGGAGGACACUGCUAUAGGUCCUGGAGAAACUGCCGACAGAGCCAAGAGAAACAGGGUCAGGGGGAGGGCGAGGAGCAGGGGGCGGGGAGGGAACCGGAGCUGCCCUUGAGGUUGGCACCCCUCGGCCCCCACCUGGUCCCGUCUAAAUAUGUCUCCAGGAUUGGCAGGAGAGACGGAUAACCUCCUGAGGCCAGGACGGCCCCGUGAGGGCCGGGAUCCUCCUACCUCCAACACCUCUCACCCAGGCUCCGAGAGCCUCCUCCCCUGCCCCUCCCCCCCAACGUCCAGGGCUCCUCGGCCCCUGUCCCCACACCGGCCUAGGAGCUCAUCGCCAUAUUAAGAAAGGAAAAAGCUGGAGCUAAAAAUAAGACCAGAUGAGUCGGAGGUCAAGUCUGUUUCUUUGAUCCCGCGGAGGAAGCCGGGUGGAGGGAGGGGGAGUACAAAUGCAAUCCAGGCUGCAGGAAAGAGACCCCCUGCACUUCCCUUUAAAGAACCAAGACCAAGGAUGAGGUCAUUCUCUGAAUAAAAGAUGGAGCCGAGUCCAGGACUGGCGCCCUGGCUCAGCUCCAGCCAGUUUCCUUUGCUUCACUCAACACUCCUGACUGGAGUAUGCAGAGGAAGGACGGGGCGUGGGGCGUGAAGUGCUGGCCCUUGGAGUCCUUGGAGAUGCGGAUCUGGGGCUUCUCUGCCCACAGACGCGAGAGGAGAAGGAGAAAGUCGUUCGGCUGCUGCCUCCUGCUUGUACUCUCUACUCUGAUCCUACGGGACUGGUUUUCUAGGGCACAGUGGGAAGGAGGAUUCCCCUGGCUGAAUGAUUCCAAGGAGAGCGAACUGUGACUAUUCAUUCCUACGUCUUUGACAAGACAAAAAGGAUCAGGUAUCAACGGUAGGGAAAAAAAAUAACACUGGGAAACAUGAAGAGGUGGGGCCCUGUGCCCUGAACCAAGGAUGCUGCUUAAUUCUGUGCAAAGCAGAGCUGGUGCAGAGGGGCUCUACAUUCCUGGAUCCCAGCUUGGGGGUGAGGGCGGAGUGGAUGGGCUCAGCUCUGGGUACCUUCAAGGACCCUCUUCACGGCCCUCCAGGGCUCAUGCACAGUCUACGAUUGCCACCAGCUUUUCUCAGCAUUUCUGUCUCUCUGUAUGCUGUUCGGCACAGCCAACCCUCUCCUCUAAAAGAAGCCUGAGAGUGAACCGAUCCACAGGGUAAAGUGGACCAGCUCACAGAGCAAAAGCCAGCGAGUGGGUGAAGAGGAAGGAAGAGCUGCCGCCAAGGGUGGGCAGGAGAGACAGGCUCACGGGGACUCCUCACGUGCCUGAGACGCAGCGAGUGCUGGGCCCAGGCUUGGAGCCAGGCUUUGGGGAACAUCCCUCACCUGUGUGGAGCUGGGGCAUGAGGGGGCAGGUGCUUUGCCUAGAGUAAAGGCUACAGGGAUCCAUUCAGCGUUGUUCCAGCCUCUAUUUCAAGGUUAGGCCAGAGAAAACAGCUGAGGGCUGGGAUGGGGUCGAGAUGCCCUAAUGACUGGGGCUACGGGAACACCAGUCCCUUCCUCAGAGGCAGGGCAGCGGCCCCACAUUCACCACUCACCACGUGGCCCCUUCCAAGUCAUUUAACCUCUCUGGAGCUCAGGUUCUUCAUGAUAAAAUAAGGUCUAGCACGAAAAGUCUAUGAGUCUGUGAGUUGAUCUGAGGAACUGAGUGGGCACUGUGGUCCCUCUGUAACGUGCGGCUCCCCUGCUCCUCUCUCACCUCCUCUGUUUCUCUGAUCCCAGGACUUGUCCUGUCCUUGCUCUCUGUCGGGUUGGAGAGUGACUUUGAGCGGGUAGCCCCCAAGGGGCAAGGAUGCUUGAUUCUGAUCCCUUCCCAGCCUCGACUCUGGUCCCUGAAAGACCUCCCCUGCCUGGCUCCCAUGAAGAUCUAGGGAGAGAGCAUCACAGUAACCCCCAAUCUCCAAAAAUCAGAGGCGACACAUCCAGGAGCUAAGGGCUGUUGCAAACAUUUACUCUUUUUUUUUU